rnacentral:rRNA from 1 species
GCUGAACGCUGGCGGCGUGCCUAAUACAUGCAAGUCGAGCGAACAGACGAGGAGCUUGCUCCUCUGACGUUAGCGGCGGACGGGUGAGUAACACGUGGAUAACCUACCUAUAAGACUGGGAUAACUUCGGGAAACCGGAGCUAAUACCGGAUAAUAUAUUGAACCGCAUGGUUCAAUAGUGAAAGACGGUUUUGCUGUCACUUAUAGAUGGAUCCGCGCCGCAUUAGCUAGUUGGUAAGGUAACGGCUUACCAAGGCAACGAUGCGUAGCCGACCUGAGAGGGUGAUCGGCCACACUGGAACUGAGACACGGUCCAGACUCCUACGGGAGGCAGCAGUAGGGAAUCUUCCGCAAUGGGCGAAAGCUUGACGGAGCAACGCCGCGUGAGUGAUGAAGGUCUUCGGAUCGUAAAACUCUGUUAUUAGGGAAGAACAAAUGUGUAAGUAACUAUGCACGUCUUGACGGUACCUAAUCAGAAAGCCACGGCUAACUACGUG